AAAGCUCAUUACAACAGCCAUAGUUUAUUGGAUCUUUACCUUCUUACACGGAUAACUGCGGUAAUUCUGGAGCUACUACGUGCAUUAAACGACGACCUUACGGAAGUCGUGCAUUUGUUAGACCAAACCAAUCGGUCUUCGGACCGCCAUUUGGUGAACUCUGAAUAACUUUGCUGAUCGCACAGUCUCGUACUGGCGACAAAUCUUUCAAGUGUCUGCCUUAUCAACUUUCGAUGGUAGUUUAUACGCCUACCAUGGUUGUAACGGGUAACGGAGAAUAAGGGUUCGACUCCGGAGAGGGAGCCUGAGAAACGGCUACCACAUCCGAGGAAGGCAGCAGGCGCGCAAAUUACCCACUCGCAGAACGCGGAGGUAGUGACGAAAAAUAACGAGGUGGCUCUCUACGAGGUCCGCCAUCGGAAUGGGUACAAUUUAAAUCCUUUAACGAGGAUCUAUUGGAGGGCAAGUCUGGUGCCAGCAGCCGCGGUAAUUCCAGCUCCAAUAGCGUAUAUUAAAGUUGUUGCGGUUAAAAAGCUCGUAGUUGGAUCUGCGUUCGGUGAAAGCGGUCGCCCGACGGGUUGUACUGCUUCUCCCGAACUAAUCAUUCGGUUUUCCCUUGAUGCUCUUCAUUGAGUGUCCUGGGUGACCGGAACUUUUACUUUGAAAAAAUUAGAGUGCUCAAAGCAGGCGAUUCGCCCGAAUAUUCGUGCAUGGAAUAAUGAAAAAGGUCCUUGUAGCCUUUUAUUGGUUAUUGCUAUGAGGAAAUGAUCGAAGGGGACAGACGGGGCAUUUGUAUUGCGACGUUAGAGGUGAAAUUCUUGGAUCGUCGCAGACAAACUACUGCGAAAGCAUGU
rnacentral:rRNA from 1 species